rnacentral:rRNA from 1 species
UACAGAGGUCCCGAGCGUUGUUCGGAUUCAUUGGGCGUAAAGGGUGCGUAGGUGGCGCUGUAAGUGGGGUGUGAAAUCCCGGGGCUUAACCCCGGGACUGCAUUCCAUACUGCGGUGCUUGAGGACUGGAGAGGAGACUGGAAUUUACGGUGUAGCAGUGAAAUGCGUAGAGAUCGUAAGGAAGACCAGUGGCGAAGGCGGGUCUCUGGACAGUUCCUGACACUGAGGCACGAAGACCAGGGGAGCAAACGGG